UUCGUAGGCGGGAUAUUAAGUCAGUGGUGAAAUCCCACAGCUUAACUGUAGAACUGCCAUUGAUACUGAUAUUCUUGAAUUCACCUGAAGUAGGCGGAACAUGACAUGUAGCGGUGAAAUGCUUAGAUAUGUCAUAGAACACCGAUUGCGAAGGCAGCUUACUAAAGUGAUAUUGACGCUAAGGAACGAAAGCGUGGGGAGCGAACAGGAUUAGAUACCCUGGUAGUCC
rnacentral:rRNA from 1 species